rnacentral:rRNA from 1 species
GCGUGAGUGACGAAGGCCUUAGGGUUGUAAAGCUCUUUUGGCGGGGACGAUAAUGACGGUACCCGCAGAAUAAGCUCCGGCUAACUUCGUGCCAGCAGCCGCGGUAAUACGAAGGGAGCUAGCGUUGUUCGGAAUCACUGGGCGUAAAGCGCACGUAGGCGGAUCUGCCAGUCAGGGGUGAAAUCCCGGGGCUCAACCUCGGAACUGCCUUUGAUACUGUAGAUCUGGAGUCCGAGAGAGGUGGGUGGAAUUCCUAGUGUAGAGGUGAAAUUCGU